rnacentral:rRNA from 1 species
GGCCGAUGAAGGACGUUACUAACGACGAUAUGCUUUGGGGAGCUGUAAGUAAGCUUUGAUCCAGAGAUUUCCGAAUGGGGAAACCCAGCAUGAGUUAUGUCAUGUUAUCGAUAUGUGAAUACAUAGCAUAUCAGAAGGCACACCCGGAGAACUGAAACAUCUUAGUACCCGGAGGAAGAGAAAGAAAAUUCGAUUCCCUUAGUAGCGGCGAGCGAAACGGGAAGAGCCCAAACCAACAAGCUUGCUUGUUGGGGUUGUAGGACACUCUAUACGGAGUUACAAAGGACGACAUUAGACGAAUCAUCUGGAAAGAUGAAUCAAAGAAGGUAAUAAUCCUGUAGUCGAAAAUGUUGUCUCUCUUGAGUGGAUCCUGAGUACGACGGAGCACGUGAAAUUCCGUCGGAAUCUGGGAGGACCAUCUCCUAAGGCUAAAUACUCUCUAGUGACCGAUAGUGAACCAGUACCGUGAGGGAAAGGUGAAAAGCACCCCGGAAGGGGAGUGAAAUAGAACCUGAAACCGUGUGCUUACAAGUAGUCAGAGCCCGUUAAUGGGUGAUGGCGUGCCUUUUGUAGAAUGAACCGGCGAGUUACGAUUUGAUGCAAGGUUAAGCAGUAAAUGUGGAGCCGUAGCGAAAGCGAGUCUGAAUAGGGCGUUUAGUAUUUGGUCGUAGACCCGAAACCAGGUGAUCUACCCUUGGUCAGGUUGAAGUUCAGGUAACACUGAAUGGAGGACCGAACCGACUUACGUUGAAAAGUGAGCGGAUGAACUGAGGGUAGCGGAGAAAUUCCAAUCGAACCUGGAGAUAGCUGGUUCUCUCCGAAAUAGCUUUAGGGCUAGCCUCAAGUGAUGAUUAUUGGAGGUAGAGCACUGUUUGGACGAGGGGCCCCUCUCGGGUUACCGAAUUCAGACAAACUCCGAAUGCCAAUUAAUUUAACUUGGGAGUCAGAACAUGGGUGAUAAGGUCCGUGUUCGAAAGGGAAACAGCCCAGACCACCAGCUAAGGUCCCAAAAUAUAUGUUAAGUGGAAAAGGAUGUGGCGUUGCCCAGACAACUAGGAUGUUGGCUUAGAAGCAGCCAUCAUUUAAAGAGUGCGUAAUAGCUCACUAGUCGAGUGACACUGCGCCGAAAAUGUACCGGGGCUAAACAUAUUACCGAAGCUGUGGAUUGUCCUUUGGACAAUGGUAGGAGAGCGUUCUAAGGGCGUUGAAGCAUGAUCGUAAGGACAUGUGGAGCGCUUAGAAGUGAGAAUGCCGGUGUGAGUAGCGAAAGACGGGUGAGAAUCCCGUCCACCGAUUGACUAAGGUUUCCAGAGGAAGGCUCGUCCGCUCUGGGUUAGUCGGGUCCUAAGCUGAGGCCGACAGGCGUAGGCGAUGGAUAACAGGUUGAUAUUCCUGUACCACCUAUAAUCGUUUUAAUCGAUGGGGGGACGCAGUAGGAUAGGCGAAGCGUGCGAUUGGAUUGCACGUCUAAGCAGUAAGGCUGAGUAUUAGGCAAAUCCGGUACUCGUUAAGGCUGAGCUGUGAUGGGGAGAAGACAUUGUGUCUUCGAGUCGUUGAUUUCACACUGCCGAGAAAAGCCUCUAGAUAGAAAAUAGGUGCCCGUACCGCAAACCGACACAGGUAGUCAAGAUGAGAAUUCUAAGGUGAGCGAGCGAACUCUCGUUAAGGAACUCGGCAAAAUGACCCCGUAACUUCGGGAGAAGGGGUGCUCUUUAGGGUUAACGCCCAGAAGAGCCGCAGUGAAUAGGCCCAAGCGACUGUUUAUCAAAAACACAGGUCUCUGCUAAACCGUAAGGUGAUGUAUAGGGGCUGACGCCUGCCCGGUGCUGGAAGGUUAAGAGGAGUGGUUAGCUUCUGCGAAGCUACGAAUCGAAGCCCCAGUAAACGGCGGCCGUAACUAUAACGGUCCUAAGGUAGCGAAAUUCCUUGUCGGGUAAGUUCCGACCCGCACGAAAGGCGUAACGAUUUGGGCACUGUCUCAACGAGAGACUCGGUGAAAUCAUAGUACCUGUGAAGAUGCAGGUUACCCGCGACAGGACGGAAAGACCCCGUGGAGCUUUACUGUAGCCUGAUAUUGAAAUUCGGCACAGCUUGUACAGGAUAGGUAGGAGCCUUUGAAACGUGAGCGCUAGCUUACGUGGAGGCGCUGGUGGGAUACUACCCUAGCUGUGUUGGCUUUCUAACCCGCACCACUUAUCGUGGUGGGAGACAGUGUCAGGCGGGCAGUUUGACUGGGGCGGUCGCCUCCUAAAAGGUAACGGAGGCGCUCAAAGGUUCCCUCAGAAUGGUUGGAAAUCAUUCAUAGAGUGUAAAGGCAUAAGGGAGCUUGACUGCGAGACCUACAAGUCGAGCAGGGUCGAAAGACGGACUUAGUGAUCCGGUGGUUCCGCAUGGAAGGGCCAUCGCUCAACGGAUAAAAGCUACCCCGGGGAUAACAGGCUUAUCUCCCCCAAGAGUUCACAUCGACGGGGAGGUUUGGCACCUCGAUGUCGGCUCAUCGCAUCCUGGGGCUGUAGU